CCCUUUUUAAAAUGGCUGGAUCCGCCACUGCGGCCUUGUUUACAAACAAUGUAGAUUCGCACUGAAUUCCUAUACUGACCCCCAUUACUUUUCAACCCUGUAGGAAAUAAAAUUAGUACAUACAGCAUUUAUUUUUUUUUAUUUUUUUCAACUCUAGUUUUGAUCCAUCUACCAAAAAAUAUUUAUUACAAACAUUAUCUACCAAUCAGAAGAGCACUUGACUUCAGUUUUAGACAGAAAGCUCUCCCCCAAAUGGGCGGUACCUGAUGACGUAUAUUUAUUUACUGA
rnacentral:lncRNA from 1 species